UAGGGAAUCUUCCACAAUGGACGAAAGUCUGAUGGAGCAACGCCGCGUGAGUNAAGAAGGGUUUCGGCUCGUAAAACUCUGUUGUUAAAGAAGAACAUAUCUGAGAGUAACUGUUCAGGUAUUGACGGUAUUUAACCAGAAAGCCACGGCUAACUACGUGCCAG
rnacentral:rRNA from 1 species